GAGCAGCCCAGCGUGCCCAUUCCAGCGCCCGCGUCCCCGCAGCAUGCCGCGCCCCCGCCUGCUGGCCGCGCUGUGCGGCGCGCUGCUCUGCGCCCCCAGCCUCCUCGUCGCCCUGGUGGGAUUUCUGCAUUUCAGCCAGAGGGACCUGUCUGCAGCUACCAGAUGCUCCCCACCCUGGGAGAGCUCAGCGGCAUGUCUGCACAUGGGCCUUUUCAGCCUUCUUCAUCCCGCAAUUGGAACUGACUUUCCCACUCCCAUCUCACACUUGAGAAUCUCUGUUUCUUGUUUCUUGUUUUUUAUUUUAUUUUUAUUUUUUCUCCCCCCUGGUGGACAAUGGUGAGGAGGGUGAAGGAAGGUUAAAAGCCACUGCUCUACGGGAUGAAAAACUAAACUUGUCAUUCUUCAGAUCCCUCCCAGUCUGGCCCCAGCCUACCC
rnacentral:lncRNA from 1 species